UCAUGUAGUGCUUGCUUUGGCUAAAAUUGGAACUAUACAGAGAAGAUUAGCAUGGUCCCUGCGCAAGGAUGACACCCAAAUUUGUGAAGCGUUCCAUAUUCUU